GACGACUCAGACGAUUUACUGGGGCUAUAUUCGUAAAAAUGGCUUCUGUUUUUUUGUUUGGUCACAAGGGAUUGAACUGUAAUUUCACUAGGCUUUUAGGUUAGUUUUGCAUUUGAUUCAAGUUUGAGUAUAUGUUUGGGAUUAAAAUCAAGUUGUGGGUUAGUUUUGGCAAAAACCCCGAUUAUAUAUCUAUUUUCAAAAAUACCUUAAAGUAAACAUUCUCUAACAUUUGAAUUUAGAAUUUAAUAAUUAUUGUUUAGGAUUUAGUAUUUAAAGGAUGAAGUUAGGUUUAUAAACUUCUGUUAAUAAUUCUAAAACAUUUAUAUGUGAUUAGAAGGGUUAGUCUAGUUAUUUUUUCAUCAUAAAUUUAGGUUAUUUAUGAAAAUAGUCAUCCUUCAAAGCUAAGUUUGAAAAGUGAUAUUGUAGUAUGAUUAGAAUUCUAUAAGGUAUAAAUUAAAAUAUUUUUGACCAAAAAAAUUAUAAAUUAAAACAUUAUUACUUUUUGUGAAGUUUUUUUGCAAGUCCGGCUCAGCUCAUGGUUUUAAGGGCCUUUAGGACAUCUCGAAGAGCAACUUUAAAACCUCAAAUAUAAGGUUUUAUGUAAACUUUAAAACUUUAAAUUAUAAGGUUACGUACAGUGAAACCUCAAAUAUAAAGUUUUACUAUACAAAACAUUUUAUUUUAUUGUUUUUGUCCUUGUACUUGUUUGUCUUUUAAAUAGUGUUGAUAACUUUUUUGUUUAUCAUUUUAAUCCAUACAAUUUUAUAUCUUUUAUAUAUUUUAUAUAUGUUCUUAUAAAUUUAACUUUUACAUAUAAAUUUAAAUAAAUAUAUACUCACUUAUCAAUUUGAAAUACACUAAUUAAUCAUGUAUGAGAGCAUUAUUGAAAGUAACAAUGAGCAACUAUGUAUUUUUAGAAAAAUGAUUUCGUUUAUAAUUAGUCUUUUAUUUAUAGGUAAUUUCUAUUAGAAUGUAACAGUUUAUUAAUAAAAUUUGUUUAUAAUAUUUUAUUGUAUGUUUUUAGUUGUUAUAACAGUUUUAUGUUUUUAUUUGUUUUUUCCAAAAAUAAGGACUAUAAUGUAAAAAUCUAAAACUUUUAAAGUUUGUUUUGAGGUUUACUAUUGAAGAAGCACACUCUCAAACCUCAAAUAUAAGGUUUAGCAAACCUCAAAUAGAUUGCUUUUGGAAAUGCUCUUAAUCAGAAAUAUUUUUAGGUCUUUUAAUUUAAAACUGGCAUUAUUUGUAAACUAUUUUGUACCGAAAUUUUAUUAAAUUUUAUUAAAUUUAGUUAAAAUAUAUUUAUAUUUUAUAUUUUCCCUUAAUCAAUUUAAUUUCUAAAAAAAUAUUUUCCAAAAAAUUAAAAUUAUAAUAUCAUCGCCUUUGAACGGUCGCAGUGCUAGCCUCUAUAGUUUAGCCCACCGGCGUUGUUUUUUGUCUUUUUGAAAUUUGAGCUUGCAAUUUCCUUUAAAAAAAUUUCGUCCACCUUAAAAUAUUUUUCUGCCGAAGAUCUUGUUAUUCCUUUCUGUUCAUAGGUGCCAUGCAAUUUAUAAGUGCUAAAUCUGCUUAGGUUGUGAGUUCGCUCACAGUUUUGCCAUCCUAUUGCAAAAUCCCCCAGUAGAUGGGUGAAAAGGUUCUCAUGAACGGGGCUGGUUCCCAGACUUGCUGAUCAAAACGAAACUGGAACAAAACAUCUAAUACACGUCAGGUUUUAAAAAGUUCUGUCUGGAAACUAAAUUUUCUCCAAUGGUCAAUGCUCCGUUUGCUAUUUUCUAGAUGAACAUUUGUGUACUUUGUGGGCCGUUUGCACUUCACAGAUAGCAGGGCCAGGUAUGCGUCUAAUUUGACUCACUCUAUCAGAUAGUCAAUGCUUGAUAUUUUCUCAAAGAAGAUGACAAACGUUUUCGAUAACAGAGUAAGGUACAAUUUUCUAACCUAAAUUUAUGUGGGCUUUUAAGUUUAAGGUAAUUAUUAAUUAAAUAUACUUGUAAAAUACAUGGAUUAGUUACUGGAUUUGUAGUAAAAUUUUCUGUAAUUAAUAAUAAGAGAGUUAGUGGGUUAGAGAUCAAAGGUGUGUCAAAAUUAGAUGUGAUAUAUAUAUAUAUAUAUAUAUAUAUAUAUAUAUAUAUUAAAUUUUUCUUUUUAAAAUAAAAGGUGUGUCACCGACUCCCCAUUGACUGACAUAGGUCUGCCUCUGCUCUCUAUGUUAGUUCUUUUACAUCAGAGCAUUGUUUAAUCAUUUGAUUUUACUAUGAAUAGGUUAUAAAUUAAAAAUUUUAAAUAAAGUAACUAGAACCACAUACAAUAUGAUAAAUAAACAGAAGAAAUGGGAAAAUUUGUAUAAAUACAUUUAUAUAUGAUUUUAAUUUCAAAAUUACACUUUGUUUUUUUGAAAACUACACUUUUGUAGUAUAUGUAAAUAUACUAAAUUAUAAAAUCUAAAUACUAUAAUUAUUGUAAUAUUUUUGUCACCAUAUUAUUUUUAUUACUUAAUCUUCCAAAUUCAACAAAAAUAUAUUUUAUUUAUUUUCUUCCUAAAAUAGUACUUUUGAUAUUUGUCUAAAAUAUUUUUACAUUUCUUUUGAGUCUACUCUUCUACUUAGCCGUUUGAACCAUGAUAACACAUGGUCAUAUAUAUACAGCUCAGAUAUUCUCAAUCUUAUCGAUGUGGGACAAACUUCCUCUUAUCUUCAUUUACUCACUAAAGGCCAUAACUAGACUAUUUCUUUUCACUUAAUUACAAUUAUUUAUGUAAGUAUUGGAAUUUAAAUAAUUGAUCCAACAAUCCCUCACAUGAAUAAAAAUGACUCUACACAUAUGCAGACUAAAUGUAGAUUCGAUAGACUCUAGUUACUAAACUUAAACUAUUUCUGAUUAGACAGACAGACUUAUCGAGAGUGUUUGCGAAAAAUUCAUUGUGUUUGAGUUGGUGACAUUUUUAAGCCUUGAACCACUAAUAGUUAAUAUCUGUCGGGUUUACUUUACCAUAAGGUGAACAUGAUGUCUUGAACCAACCAGUGUUUUAUGUAAACUGAGACAACAUGCAUAGCACAACUUCAUUUUCUCGUAGAACUUAGUUCUCUAUUGUGUUCAUUAUGGCCCUGAACAAUUCUUGGUUUUCAUGAGUGAACUUAGAGAAUAUAGCAUUGUAUUCAUUCUCCUAGAAACGGCCCCAUUUUACACUCAUUAGGUGAUUGACCAUGAAAAAUAUUGAGUAAUACUUCGCUUUAGAAGCUAUGGAAUCAUUAAAAGCAUAUGCUUAUCCUUCUUAUAUUCGUUAGCACUUUUAUCAUCAUAUGAGCUCGGAAUAGAUUACUUUGUCUCAAAGUGCUUUGGUUAAAUUUAGUUUGAUUUUUAUUCCCUUUGAAUUUGCGUCUUGGGAUCUCCAGUCAUGAUAGGUAGGGUUGCAAUCAAGCGUUCUCAUUCGUUAUAGGCUUUAAACCCAUUCUUUUUGAUGAUUUAGCAACAACAUCAUGGCAAACCUUUAGUAAAUAGAUCCGCUAGGUUAUCAACCGAUUUGAUGUAGUCUAUUGUGAUUACACCAGUUAAGAUAAGUUCUCUAAUGGUUUUAUGUUGUCUUCUGAUGUGACAAGAUUUACCAUUGUAGAGAUUAUUCUGAGCCCGAGCUAUAGCUGAUUGACUAUCACAGUGUAUGCGUAUAGCUGGCACAGGUUUCUUCCAUAUAGGAAUAUCUUUCAAAAUUUUUUUAAGCCAUUCAGCUUCUUCUGCAACUUUGUCUAAGGCUAUGAACUCAGAUUCCAUGGUGGAUCUGGCUAACACUUUCUUUGGUAGAUUUAUAUGAUAUUGUUGCUCCUUCUAGUGUAAAGACAUAUCCACUUGUGGAUAUUGAGCUUUUAGAAUCUGAUAUCCAGUUAGCAUCUUUGUAUCCUUCUAAAACUGAUGGUUCUUUACCAUAAUGAAACCCAAAAUCUUUGGUGUAAGUCAAGUAAUUGAGUACUCUCGUUAUAGCUUUCCAGUGUGUAUGACAUGAAUUACUUGUAUAUCGACUAAGUAUGUUUACUGCAUGCACUAGAUCUAGUCUGGUACAAUUGGUCAAGUACAUGAGACUUCCGAUCACACGUGAAUACUUGUUUUGUGAAACCGCUUCACCUGAAUUCUUUGUCAAGUACAUUUGGGAAUCUAACGUAGUUUUUGCCCUACUAUUAGAGUAAUUUUUAAACCUCUAUAAUAUUGUUUGAGCAUACUGAGACUGGGUUAAGAUAAUUCCGUUUGAAUUUCUGGUGACUUUAACCCCGAGAAUUACAUCUACUAAUCUCAAGCCUUUCAUCUCAAAUUUCCCUUUGAGCAUGUUCUUUGUUUGAUUGAUAAUGACUUUAUUGCUUCCAAUAAUG